GAAAGUCAUCUUUGGCCCGUAAUGCAUAGAUGGACUAUUGAUUGUUAUGAUUAUGACCAAGAAUUAUGUAUCGGUAUAAUCAUGACCUGUAAUAUUACAAAUGAUGUGGUAAAAGUCCUCAUUAGCCCGUAGUGCAUUGAUGGACAGUUGUUUGGCAUGAUCAUGACCACUAGUGAUAAUAACGAAUAUCAUUGGCCCGUAGUGCAUGGAUAAUUCGUUGAUGUGAAUUAUUUAUUGAGAUGUGUUACAGAGAUAAAAUAUUAUUGAUGAACUUUUAAAUCAUAGAAGAUAGUAGACAUCAUGCUCUACUUAACUCUUCUAAUGGAUUGCUUGUUCCGCUGCAGUUAAACUUAUUUUCUAUUGUAUUCUAUCAGUUUUACACUGUUGAAGGCUAAGAAUAAUUUAUUUUGCAUUAUCUUAGUCAUAAUAUUCUUUACUGGGCUAGUUGAGCUCACCCUUUUCUUUCAUUGUUCUCUUUAGGAAAUGAGAAUAUAGCUGGAACUAGUCGGGAAACGGAGUGAUGGUCCAAGAUGGUGGCUAUAGUAGUCCUCACUAUUCUAUAAAAUAGUGUGAAUAAUUGUAAUGAGAACUUCAUUUGAGUCUGGAUAUUGUCUACGAGACAAU
rnacentral:lncRNA from 1 species